GAUAAAAGAUCAAAAGAUAAAAGUUAGCUAGUUAUGUGCUUUUAGAUGCUUACCCUUGCACGCCGUCGAGCAAACCAAGUGUUGUCAUAUUGUAUUUUUUAGCUGUUUUGUUUGGCUGCCAUCAGCCUCUUUUGAAACAGACUCAUUCGUCUUGCAGUUAAAAACAUCCACAUGCCGAGAAUGAAGAACACCAUUCCAUCGAUAUGCUCCAUUGUUGUGUGUUAGUUUGUGGCAGGUUUACGAUGAUCAGACGGCAGUAGAGGCGGCGCAACUAUAACGACAUGU